rnacentral:rRNA from 1 species
UAGGGAAUUUUCCGCAAUGGGCGAAAGCCUGACGGAGCAACGCCGCGUGAGUGAUGAAGGUCUUCGGAUCGUAAAACUCUGUUAUUAGGGAAGAACAAAUGUGUAAGUAACUAUGCACGUCUUGACGGUACCUAAUCAGAAAGCCACGGCUAACUACGUGCCAGCAGCCGCGGUACUCCGUAGGUGGCAAGAGUUAUCCGGAAUUAUUGGGCGUAAAGCGCGCGUAGGCGGUUUUUUAAGUCUGAUGUGAAAGCCCACGGCUCAACCGUGGCGGGUCAUUGGAAACUGGAAAACUUGAGUGCAGAGGAGGAAAGUGGAAAUCCCUGUGUAGCGCUGAAAUGCGCAGAGAUAUGGAGGAACACCAGUGGCGAAGGCGACUUUCUGGUCUGUAACUGACGCUGAUGUGCGAAAGCGUGGGGAUCAAACAGG